GGAAUCUUGUCACUGGCUAAACCGCCUCACACGCGGAAGGUCACUGGUUCGAUCCAGUCGGGACCACCA
rnacentral:tRNA from 1 species